CCCCCAUGCUUCCUCCAACUAAAACUAAAAACUACUAGCGUCUGCGUGAGAAUUCCAGCCGCAAACACGCCUCCGACUACGUAAUAAAUCCCAUCCAUAUAAUUACAGGCAGAUAUAAUUUAAAGGUAACUGGUUAUAGUUAUAACAUACUGAGUUAAGCUAAAUGGCUACUACAUACCAGCCCCUAAUUGUUCUGACUAUAUAACGAAGCAAUUACUAAUAGACAUUAAAAAAGGUAGCUAUAAAAGCUUAACAUAUAUC